UUGCGGUGAAUACGUUCCCGGGUCUUGUACCACACCGCCCGUCAAACCAUGAAAGUGACCAACACCCGAAGUCCGAUUCGUCGGCCUAAGGUGGGGGCAUGAUUGGGUU
rnacentral:rRNA from 1 species